rnacentral:rRNA from 1 species
AACGAACGCUGGCGGCAGGCCUAACACAUGCAAGUCGAGCGGACAUCUUCGGAUGUUAGCGGCGGACGGGUGAGUAACGCGUGGGAACGUGCCCUUUGCUUCGGAAUAGCAUCGGGAAACUGGGAGUAAUACCGGAUGUACCCUUUGGGGGGAAGCGUUAUCGGCAAGGGAUCGGCCCGAGUUGGAUCAGUUAGUUGGUGGGGUAAGGGCUUUCGAAGCCGACGAUCCAUAGCUGGUUAGAGAGGAUGAUCAGCCACACUGGGACUGAGACACGGCCCAGACUGCUGCGGGAGGCAGCAGUGGGGACUCUUAGACAGUGGGGGAAACCCUGAUCUAGCCCUGGCGGGUGAGCGAUGAAGGGGUUAGGGUUGUAAAGCGCUUUCACCGGAGAAGAUAAUGCCGGUACCCGGAGAAGAAGCCCCGGCUAACUCCGU